AAAAAAAAAAAAGAAGUAUAUAGAUUUUGAGAAGAACGGGGAGCAAUUAGUUACGUCGGAAUUAGGGUUUGACAUGGCUUCAUCGAGUAGAAUAGAUUACGAAAUCAUCAGUGAUCCGUUCAAUCCACAAUGUGUGAUUGCAGGCUUUAUACCUCUCUGGAGAGAUAACGAGAAGGAGAAGCUUCUGUUGGAGAGGAUCCGAGGGAAAGAGGGCGAUACGAGUCUAAAGUAAACACCACAGGAGGAGCGAGAUCUCAUCAACGGACAGAUAAGGAACUCGCAGGGCUUUGACGUGGAUUUUUCCAAGUUCCGAUGCCUUUUCAAUUUCUACCCUUCCUCUCUUGAUGAAAGCCAUUCAACCUUAAUAAGAGAAACCGAUAGGCAGUUUUUCGGAAGAUUGGCUCAGGAAUCCAUUGGGGAUUAUAACAUUAAAGAGGGGACCAGUUUUGAUUUUCUUGAGGUUGAGAAAGCAAAUCUAUACAGGAGUAAAGGUUACAUUUACUUCAUCACGUUUGUAGCCAAGGAUCCUUGCCACCGGACCAAAGUCUUUCAAGCUAAGGUCUGCAAUGUUUUCUGUAGAGAGAUUGAGCACAGUUUCUGCAGGCUUAAACCCGGUCAACAAGUAGAAUGCGAUGAAGAUUCUAAGAGAGUUGUGAAGAAACCAAGGUAUAAUACAAGAUCGUACAAGCGUGCGGAUGUCGGAGAUAUAUUAAGGGCUUGAUUUCCUAUUUGUAGGACAACUACUAAAAUAUAAAAAAUAAAUUAUCCAUUUGUUUUCUGGUGUCCAGACGUUUCCAUCUUAUGAUGAUGAUAGGAUCAUAGGAUACCAGCCAAUAAUUAGCAGUAGAUAAUCAUAGCAAACGAGUUUUGAGUUUUUGGGCUCAUGUGCUCAUAAGCUUGAUGGGCAUUACUAUUCA